GGACAGCUGAUGAUAUAUUUAAUUUUUGGUAGCUAGCAUAUUUAUUCCGGCGAAAGCCGGGACUCUCGCAUACGUCGAUCUUGACGUAAGUCGAAAAACUGUCGAGAUCGCGCGCGAUCGCUUUCCUCGUGCCGAAAGAGACACUGAUACACGAUGACGAUCCACGAGCGAUGGACAUUAAUGGCCUUUUACGGCGACGCCUGACCCGUCUUGAAACACGGANCCCGGCUCGCUUGUGCGGGCACGCUAUCGUGCGUCGAUGUCCGGCGUUUGUAGUCGUGCACUUCUCCCCUAGUAGGACGUCGCGACCCGCUGGAUGUCGGUCUACGGCCCGGGUGCGGUGACUGCCGCAUCGCCGGUAAAACGGCACGCGCACAAACCUCCGGUCGCCCGGCCGGCUGUCCGGCGGUACACGCAAGGUAUCAGGCCGCACAAUCGCCGUUGCGUCGAGGCCGUCACAAGCGCACGCCAUGGUUACUC
rnacentral:rRNA from 1 species